rnacentral:rRNA from 1 species
AGAGUUUGAUCCUGGCUCAGGACGAACGCUGGCGGCGUGCUUAACACAUGCAAGUCGAACGAUGAAGCCGGAGCUUGCUCCGGUGGAUUAGUGGCGAACGGGUGAGUAACACGCGAGCAAUCUGCCCUUGACUCUGGGAUAACUGCGGGAAACUGUAGCUAAUACCGGAUACGACACCUUGGGGCAUCCCAGGGUGUGGAAAGAAUUUCGGUCAAGGAUGAGCUCGCGGCCUAUCAGCUAGUUGGUGAGGUAAUGGCUCACCAAGGCGACGACGGGUAGCCGGCCUGAGAGGGUGACCGGCCACACUGGAACUGAGACACGGUCCAGACUCCUACGGGAGGCAGCAGUGGGGAAUAUUGCACAAUGGACGAAAGUCUGAUGCAGCAACGCCGCGUGAGGGAUGAAGGCCUUCGGGUUGUAAACCUCUUUUAGCAGGGAAGAAGCGAAAGUGACGGUACCUGCAGAAAAAGCACCGGCUAACUACGUGCCAGCAGCCGCGGUAAUACGUAGGGUGCAAGCGUUGUCCGGAAUUAUUGGGCGUAAAGAGCUCGUAGGCGGUUUGUCGCGUCUGCUGUGAAAAUCCAAGGCUCAACCUUGGACCUGCAGUGGGUACGGGCAAGCUAGAGUGCGGUAGGGGAGAUGGGAAUUCCUGGUGUAGCGGUGGAAUGCGCAGAUAUCAGGAGGAACACCAAUGGCGAAGGCACAUCUCUGGGCCGUAACUGACGCUGAGGAGCGAAAGCGUGGGGAGCGAACAGGAUUAGAUACCCUGGUAGUCCACGCCGUAAACGGUGGGUGCUAGUUGUGGGCCACAUUCCACGUGGUCUGUGACGAAGUUAACACAUUAAGCACCCCGCCUGGGGAGUACGGUCGCAAGACUAAAACUCAAAGGAAUUGACGGGGGCCCGCACAAGCGGCGGAGCAUGCGGAUUAAUUCGAUGCAACGCGAAGAACCUUACC